AAGGAUUUAAGUUAAACAAACUUGUAGUCUUCAAAACUACUAAUAAAGACCCCCCUCUUUAAGCCUUA
rnacentral:tRNA from 1 species